AUGCAGCCUAAUAAGGCUGAUGGCUGGUGGUUUUUACCUCCAGCCU
rnacentral:sRNA from 1 species